rnacentral:tRNA from 1 species
GGAGAGGUAGCUCAGCUGGUAGAGCAGUGAAAAAAUAUGAGUCUUGUAGAAGACUCACACAGCAAUAUUUUAGCCUGGUAAGCCACUUGUCGCGGGUUCGAAUCCCGCCCUCUCCA